UUUUCUGGGUCUGGUCAUAUUCUGCCACUCGAGAUCUUGAUAAAGCAUCUGCAUUUGUCUUACUUUCCAAGUUCUGAAGGGUGCGGAAGGGUCUCAGGGAUCUUGGGUUUGAUAAAGCAUCUGCAUUUGUGUUACUUGGUAAAGCAUUUGUGCGGAAGGGACUCAGGGUCAAGUUGUGGGAUCUGCAUUUGUGUUACUUUUAUAUAAAAAUGGUGUUUCAUAUAUUCUAACAGAUCCUAUAAAUAGAUCAGAUUUUUGCUGAAGCACUACAGGUAAAAUGACCAUCAAGACUAAAACUAGCAAAUAUGGUGCAUAAAUUAGGUUUGGCGCCCAUUAUGGGUGGUGGCUGGGUACGCAAAGGAGUUCUUUCUAUACAUUGGCUGGCCAGGGAAUUUCAAGCUCAUUCUGGCUUUAACAAAAUGACCUUGUGAGACCGCCGGAUGAUAGAUGAAAGUAGUGUUCUUAUGAUCAUCACGGCUCAAGCAGCUGGCUCGAGAGUCAUCGUCUAUCAGGCUAACAUAAUCUUUAGCAUGGUGGUUCCAGUUUCUAUUUCAACUUGCAUACGAAGCAGAAUGUCGUCCAAAAAAAAUGCUGCUACUUUUUUUUAUUCUUGUUUCAAGCAUACAAUACAAUAUAAGGCUAUAAAUGGGUCAGGUUGACUCGUAAUCCAAUCUGACCCACAUACCCGAUCCGAAUUGGAGGAUUGCAGGGCUGAAUCGGUUUUAUUUUUCGAGUUGGAUCUGAGUUUACUGGAUUUCAACCUGACUUAGGAUCCAAUCUGACCUCUUUUUUGGGGUCAAGUUUGGAUCAUUUAUCCAACGGCCCGAGUCGAAUUACCCAUUUAGGCAUGUAGUAACGGGAAUACCUUUUAUGAGGGAUUAAACUAAGCUAACCUAAAGCAAAACCAGUUUAUAUCUAUGAAAAAUCCUUCGUGCCCUCAGCCACAAAAGGUACGGCAUAUAUUUGCACCGUGCCUAUUAUUUUAUGAUUAGAAGUGCCUAUUAUUUUAUGAUUAGAAGUGAUAAAAGUGACUAGUGUGAUGAGAAGAGAAGUACGGGCUGGGGUUGAGGGAGGAGAGGGCGGC
rnacentral:lncRNA from 1 species